rnacentral:lncRNA from 1 species
GGGAUGUCUGGUGUGAAUCACUUUCUUGAGGUUAUGCCACAGCAUCUCAAUCAGGUUGAGGUCAGGACUCUGACUGGGCCACUUCAGAAGGCGUAUUUUCUUCUGUUUAAGCCAUUCUGUUGUUGAUUUACUUCUAUGCUUUGGGUCAUUGUCCUGUUGCAACAUCCAUCUUCUGUUGAGCUUCAGCUGGUAGACAAAUGCCCUUAAGUUCUCCUGCAAAAUGUCUUGAUAAAC